AGCAGUAGCCACGGUAAUACGAAGGGUGCGAGCGUUAAUCGGAAUUACUGGGCGUAAAGCGUGCGCAGGCGGUUGUGUAAGACAGGUGUGAAAUCCCCGGGCUUAACCUGGGAACUGCGCUUGUGACUGCACAGCUAGAGUAUGGCAGAGGGGGGUGGAAUUCCACGUGUAGCAGUGAAAUGCGUAGAGAUGUGGAGGAACACCGAUGGCGAAGGCAGCCUCCUGGGCCAAUACUGACGCUCAUGCACGAAAGCGUGGGGAGCAAACAGGAUUAGAUACCCGAGUAGUCCCUGUCUCUUAUAC
rnacentral:rRNA from 1 species